UUCCUCCUGGCAAAAGUGGUUACCGCAACAGAGUCAAAAAAAAAUCUGUUCCUCUUCGACUGCGUAGGUUCGAAACCUGCGGAUGAAA